rnacentral:tRNA from 1 species
GCGGUCAUGGCGGAAUUGGUAGACGCGCUACCUUGAGGUGGUAGUGGGGCGACCCGUGGAGGUUCGAGUCCUCUUGACCGCACCA